ensembl:lncRNA
GGCCCUUCCAAGCCAAGCCAUUCUAUGAUUCUGUGGUUCUAUGGUUCUGUGAAUGACAUUCACCAAAAACAAACCGAGUUUUUGCACAAGGGUGACCUGAGGGUGGCAGCAGCUGCUCACAGUAGCGUUGGAUCGUGCAGUGCACGGUCACAAGGAUUUAGGGAGACUGCAGAGCCUGUGGUGAGAGAGCAGGAAGCAGUGGAUUGCAGGAGGCUGGAGUGGUGUUGAAUAUUUGUGUUGCUGGAAGUAUAUGUGAGAGGAGAUGUAGAAAAUGUGGCAUCAUGGUUACUGGCAAGAUGUGCAGUGCCGAGGAGGAAAAUCUGAUGAGGAAUCCCCAGCAUCGUAAAUGGAUAAUGUGGUGUUGACUGGAGUGAGAAGCAGCAGCAUUUCCCAGCAAAGAGCACGCAUGCUGAGCUUCUGUGGCUGGUAAAACACAGCAGAUGACUUCUGAUACGUGCCAGUGUGUGAGGAGAAGGAAGCAUUUCCUGAGAACAGAUAUGUGAAGAUAUUCAGGCUCCCUUUAGGUACUAGAAGGCUGCAAUGAGGACUCCCCACAGCCUUCUGUUCUCCAUGCUGAACAAGCCCAGCUCCCUCAACCUGUCUUUGUAGUGGAGGUGCUCCAGCCCUCUGAUCAUCUCUGUGACCCUUCUCUGGAGGUUUUCUGUAAACAAUAAAGAAAAAGCAGAAGACAAGAAAAAAGGAGGCUGUAGGAGGCCACCCAGCAGGCUGAGCGUAUGUCCCAGUUUGAGAAGAUGCUGCUGCAGCUGUGCCACCCCUUUCUGACUCCUGCUGGACUGCAAGGGCCUUCAGUGCCAAGGAACUGGUGUUGUGAAGAAAGAUUGAGGAUGACAGCGCUGUAACUGCUGGUAUUCUACUGAGCACGUUCCCUGUAAAACGUGCUGGCUGUGAUCCUCCUUUCCUCCGGAGGCACGGAUUUGUGUGCACUCUGUUCCCUGCAGUGUUCUCUCUGUGUACAACACUCAUUGCUCAUAUUUCAGUGAGGGCUUCUUGUGAAGCUCUGUGUGCUAAGUGUUCCUGCUGCUGAUGGGCACCAGCACAGGGCUUCGUGCAGAGGGGCACGGUGGCACUCACUGCCAGCACGUGCUGGCCUGCAGAAGCAGAGCAGAAAGCUCUCAGUCACCACAAGCUGUGCUGCCAGAUGUCAAGGGAUGUGAAAAGCCAGCAGCUGGUGAUCAGCCCAUGUGAAUGGUGACAGAAGUGAUUCCUGCCCAGAAGUGUCCCAGUGGCUACUGGAGGCGGACCGCUACUGACAUCCAUAUGCUGAUCAUAACACAGGUAGUGGUUUCUCCACCUUUCUGGCCAUUCUGCUUGUGCAUCUGAGCACCUCCAGUACCACAGCAGAAUACUUUUAUUCAGCGUUGCCUAUGUAGUGAGCGUAUCUUAAACUCUGCCCCACCUGUUGUACAUCUGCAAACACACAGGUAGAACUUAUAUGCUGAUCUGUUAGAUGCUGGCUUAUCUCACUUGUCUGUAAGACCUUCAUGCAGUGAAGGCUCAUGUGAGUGCAGAGACUCAUCUCCCCAGGUUGCCUGUGUCACUGGGGAGAGAUGCAUCUCCAAGGGUGAUUCACAUGGCCUCUAUGGGAUGAAUCAUCCCAGAGGUCCCUGCUUAACUCUGCUUUGUUCCCUUUGGGGAGCAACACGUCUGCUUUAAAUGAGGGGUAAUUAAUCCUACCUGGGGCCUGGCACUCAGUUGUCAUGUCACAUAACAGUAUUAACAGAGAUGAAGAAUUUGAUCUUCAAAGAGAAAACGGCAGCAAUAUUUUCCCUUUUUUCUUUCUUUUCUUUUGGAAAAGUGAAAAGUGCAUGCUGAAAGACAGCAGAGUAAAGCUGUGUAAAUAAAAGAGGUGCCAUUGUUCAAAUAAAUAGACA